rnacentral:rRNA from 1 species
AGUGAACGCUGGCGGUAGGCCUAACACAUGCAAGUCGAACGGCAGCACAGUAAGAGCUUGCUCUUACGGGUGGCGAGUGGCGGACGGGUGAGGAAUACAUUGGAAUCUACUUUUUCGUGGGGGAUAACGUAGGGAAACUUACGCUAAUACCGCAUACGACCUACGGGUGAAAGCAGGGGAUCUUCGGACCUUGCGCGAUUGAAUGAGCCGAUGUCGGAGUAGCUAGUUGGCGGGGUAAAGGCCCACCAAGGCGACGAUCCGUAGCUGGUCUGAGAGGAUGAUCAGCCACACUGGAACUGAGACACGGUCCAGACUCCUACGGGAGGCAGCAGUGGGGAAUAUUGGACAAUGGGCGCAAGCCUGAUCCAGCCAUACCGCGUGGGUGAAGAAGGCCUUCGGGUUGUAAAGCCCUUUUGUUGGGAAAGAAAAGCAGCAGGUUAAUACCCCGCUGUUCUGACGGUACCCAAAGAAUAAGCACCGGCUAACUUCGUG